rnacentral:rRNA from 1 species
GAACGCUGGCGGCGUGCUUAACACAUGCAAGUCGCACGGAAAGGCCCUGCUUUUGUGGGGUGCUCGAGUGGCGAACGGGUGAGUAACACGUGAGUAACCUGCCCUUGACUUUGGGAUAACUUCAGGAAACUGGGGCUAAUACCGGAUAGGAGCUCCUGCUGCAUGGUGGGGGUUGGAAAGUUUCGGCGGUUGGGGAUGGACUCGCGGCUUAUCAGCUUGUUGGUGGGGUAGUGGCUUACCAAGGCUUUGACGGGUAGCCGGCCUGAGAGGGUGACCGGCCACAUUGGGACUGAGAUACGGCCCAGACUCCUACGGGAGGCAGCAGUGGGGAAUAUUGCACAAUGGGCGGAAGCCUGAUGCAGCAACGCCGCGUGCGGGAUGACGGCCUUCGGGUUGUAAACCGCUUUCGCCUGUGACGAAGCGUGAGUGACGGUAAUGGGUAAAGAAGCACCGGCUAACUACGUG